rnacentral:rRNA from 1 species
AAUGAACGUUGGCGGCGUGGAUUAGGCAUGCAAGUCGGACGGGUCUGGCUUCGGCCAGAUCAGUGGCGCAAGGGUGAGUAAGGCGACGGUAACCAACCCCAUGGUCGGGUAUAGCCGCGGGAAACCGCGGGUAAUCCUCGGCGACGUCGCGGGCCGGCAUCGGCCUGUGACCAAAGCUUUCAGCGCCGUGGGACGGGCUGUCGUGGUAUUAGGUUGUUGGCGGGGUGAUGGCCCACCAAGCCUCUGAUGCCUACCGGGCGUGCGAGCGCGGCCCGGCACACUGGGACUGAGGCACUGCCCAGACUCCUACGGGAGGCUGCAGUCGAGAAUCUUCGGCAAUGGGCGCAAGCCUGACCGAGCGACGCCGCGUGGAGGACGAAGGCCUUCGGGUUGUAAACUCCUGUCGGGGGGGAGGAAGGCGUAAGCUUGACCGAUCCCCGGAGGAAGCACGGGCUAAGUUCGUGCCAGCCGCCGCCGUAACAC